UUUUAUUGUCCGCUAAAAAUUAGAAUUUAUACUACAAGCUGGAUAAAAUACCAAGCAAACGUUUAUGCUGCGAGGAUGAAAUGUAUAGCAAUAUACAGUUGAUGUAAGGCAAUGUAUAAACUAUUGUGAAAUAAUGCCAUUUGCAUGUCCGCAUCUUUUGAAUAAGGAAUGCAAACACCAUACUAUAUCAUAAUAUAAAGGGCUAAAGCCUACAAUAAUGCCAAGUUCCACAACAUUUCAAUUCUUACACUAAUUCUCAUCAUAGUACUGAGUAAUAUCUGUGUUAUGCGUUUUCCUGAACUCAAAAUGAAUCUUUUAAGAAGAAACUUACCGGGCAUGUGGUGAAAUUUUUGAAGGAAUUCCUCCUUACAUCAUUUAAAAUUAUAAGUUGCUCUGUACUGAGGCUGGUUUCUCAAUCUCAUGUAUUGAAUUUUAAUAGUUUGAUUUAAUAUGUGAAAUGGCAAUUGUCAUCUUCACAAAGGACUUUGUUUAUUUACUUAAUUUCUGUUCAAUGGGAAACAUAUAUGGUGAGGUUUCUAUUACCUGAAUUGAAAACAUUAUGUUUUACUUACUAAGGAAAACUUGGAGUUUAACGCAUAUCUGUUGUCCAAAAUCCUUUGUUUGAGCUUAAGACCUAAAUAAUUGCAUUGU
rnacentral:misc_RNA from 1 species